CUACCAUUUUGAAGGACCGCCUUUUUUCUUUGACACGCCCAUUUUUGUUUACGUUUUAAUAGCAUAGCUAGCACAGCCUUUGAGCACAGCUGAUCGACUGCUCUCUCUCUCUCUCUCUCUCGGCUCAGCUCAGUUGCUUCUUGCUCGUGUUGCUGCAUUAUCACCAGCGGCGGUGUGUUUGUGUUCUCGUAUUAGACCUAUAUUGCACACAGAGUACGUAAAGAGAUAUGGAUAAUGGACUUAGAAUUGAACCACUUGUUGCUCCACCAAGUGAUGAAGAUCCCAUCAUAUUAGCAGCCAGAAGAAUCGGCUUUCCAAUCGAAAAGAUAGAGUUCUUCAUUAAACAGUACUUUGAAGAAACUGGGCGGCUUUUUCAGGCAGUAGAACCUCUUCUAGACAGACUGAGGGUAGAUCUCUUUCAUGGAAUCUUGACAGAGGCAUUCACAUGUAUAUUGGAAACGGCGAUAGAUUAACUACUUACAGUGCUUUCUAACUACAUGUACAGGGCUUUCAGGAAAUACCAACGGGUGUGCAUGCAUUCAACAAAUAAAAAGAGGCUCUUCCGGUUCAU